GGCUCCACAGUGUAGUGGUUAGCACAUCUGCUUUACACCCAGAAGGUCUGGGGUUCAUACCCUAGGUGGAGCCA
rnacentral:tRNA from 1 species